rnacentral:rRNA from 1 species
GCAGCCGCGGUAAUUCCAGCUCCAAUAGCGUAUAUUAAAGUUGUUGCAGUUAAAAAGCUCGUAGUUGAAUUUCGGGAUUAACACGUCGGUCGUGCCACUGGUAUGAACUGGCGUCGUUGAUUUCUCCUUUCUGAGGAACCAUGAUGUCAUUAAUUUGAUGUCGUGGGAAAUCAGGACUGUUACUUUGAAAAAAUUAGAGUGUUUAAAGCAGGCUCGCGCUUGAAUACAUUAGCAUGGAAUAAUGAAAUAGGACGUUCGAACCUAUUUUGUUGGUUUCUAGGAUCAACGUAAUGAUUAAUAGGGAUAGUUGGG